rnacentral:tRNA from 1 species
GGAGAGAUGCGAGAGUGGUUGAAUCGGGCGGACUCGAAAUCCGUUGAGCCGCUUUGCGGUUCCGAGGGUUCGAAUCCCUCUCUCUCCGCAA